rnacentral:pre_miRNA from 1 species
UCCUCAAUUUGCAUGCUCUCUCGCCGGUCAGACAGAGCGAGAGAGCGUGCGAAUUGAGGAGA